GAUGAACGCUGGCGGCGUGCCUAAUACAUGCAAGUCGAGCGAACAGACGAGGAGCUUGCUCCUUUGACGUUAGCGGCGGACGGGUGAGUAACACGUAGGUAACCUACCUAUAAGACUGGGAUAACUUCGGGAAACCGGAGCUAAUACCGGAUAAUAUUUCGAACCGCAUGGUUCGAUAGUGAAAGAUGGCUUUGCUAUCACUUAUAGAUGGACCUGCGCCGUAUUAGCUAGUUGGUAAGGUAACGGCUUACCAAGGCAACGAUACGUAGCCGACCUGAGAGGGGGGUGGGCCCAACGGGAACUGAGACACGGUCCAGAACCCUAGGGGGGGCAGCAGGAGGGAAUCUUCCGAAAGGGGCGAAAGCCUGACGGAGCAACGCCGGGGGGGUGAAGAAGGUCUUGGGAUCGUAAAACUCUUUUAUUAGGGAAAAAAAAACGUGUAAGUAACGGUGCCCGUCUUGACGGCACUAAAACAAAAAGCCACGGCCAACUACGU
rnacentral:rRNA from 1 species